CUGAGGUUGGGGCUGAUACCUGGGUGCUGGAAGGUGUGCUCAAGAAAAGCCAGCGAGAACACCUGGGGAGGAGCCAAGAUUUAUACUACAACCUGACAUCACAGCUGAGAGCAUCUCCAGGGACAAGGAAAGC